UCUGUACCCUGUACACAUUUCUCUCUUUCUUCUCACUUCUCAUUCUCCAUCUCUUCUUCUUCUCUCUCUUACGCCUUUCCAUAUUCAAAAUAUUCAAAUGACACAGAGAAAGCCAAGAACAGCGACGGGAGACGGUAGAAAGAAGAAGAUCCAUCUGAGAACCGAAGAAGAAUGCACAGGAGGAGGAAGAAGAAGAACUACACGGGUUAGUGAUGAGUGGAUCUUUUCUCUAAAAUCAUCUCUAUGAAAUCUGGACCAUAUGACAAUUGGAGUUUCUUCUUUGUUUUCACAUUCUUCAUCUAUUCACGCUAGCCGAAAUGGAGGCCAAAGAUCAAAGCUUCAUCUACAUCUUCAUUUUUGGAGACUUCUACUUCUACGAUGAUGGGACUAUUGCAUUGGUCUAAGAAAACAAAGAGAUAAUUACGCAGUUACACUCCAACUCUAACUUGUGAAUAGCAGUAGACUUCUACUUCUAUGACGAUGAGACUAUUGCAUUGGUUUAAGAAACAAAGAGAUACUUACACUCCAACUCUAAAUCCCACAAAAUCUGCCGAAAGUCUUGGUCUGAUUAAUGUGAAAAGGGAAGGGAACAAGUUUCUGCCGAUGAAAAGUUUCUCAUGAAGGCCAAAGAUUGAAGCUAGCCGAAAUGUUGCAAAGUAGCUCUAAGCUGGAGUUGAAAGAUCAAAAGGUGUCUCGAUUAUUUGAAACAGUUGCAAAACCUAAACAUAUGUGACAAAAGUGACAAGCAAGGAUAAGUUGAAUUGGUUUGGUCGUACUUGAGUGACAAGCAAGGAAAAAUUUAAUUGGCUUGGUUUUGAGGUAUACUACGUUUCUCAACACUGUUUCAUGAAAUGAAUUUUUUUAACUUAAUAGGAUAAACAUAAUGCAAGGUGUUAAUAUGUAAUGUAAAUAGAGAAAAAUCUUAGUUUAGUUGAUUUUGAUUGUCAGCUACUUACUUCUUUCCAUUUUUUUUUUACUACAAUGAAUUUGUAUGAAAUUUGGAUUUAUCCCUCUUUUA